rnacentral:rRNA from 1 species
GACGAACGCUGGCGGCGUGCUUAACACAUGCAAGUCGAACGGAAAGGCCCUGCUUUUGUGGGGUGCUCGAGUGGCGAACGGGUGAGUAACACGUGAGUAACCUGCCCUUGACUUUGGGAUAACUUCAGGAAAGUGGGGCUAAUACCGGAUAGGAGAUCCUGCUGCAUGGUGGGGGUUGGAAAGUUUCGGCGGGUGGGGAUGGACUCGCGGCUUAUCAGCUUGUUGGUGGGGUAGUGGCUUACCAAGGCUUUGACGGGUAGCCGGCCUGAGAGGGUGACCGGCCACAUUGGGACUGAGAUACGGCCCAGACUCCUACGGGAGGCAGCAGUGGGGAAUAUUGCACAAUGGGAGGAAGCCUGAUGCAGCAACGCCGCGUGCGGGAUGACGGCCUUCGGGUUGUAAACCGCUUUCGCCUGUGACGAAGCGUGAGUGACGGUAAUGGGUAAAGAAGCACCGGCUAACUACGUG